rnacentral:rRNA from 1 species
GACGAACGCUGGCGGCGUGCUUAACACAUGCAAGUCGAACGGAAAGGCCUGCUUUUGUGGGGUGCUCGAGUGGCGAACGGGUGAGUAACACGUGAGUAACCUGCCCUUGACUUUGGGAUAACUUCAGGAAACUGGGGCUAAUACCGGAUAGGAGCUCCUGCUGCAUGGGGGGGGUUGGAAAGUUUCGGCGGUUGGGGAUGGACUCGCGGCUUAUCAGCUUGUUGGUGGGGUAGUGGCUUACCAAGGCUUUGACGGGUAGCCGGCCUGAGAGGGUGACCGGCCACAUUGGGACUGAGAUACGGCCCAGACUCCUACGGGAGGCAGCAGUGGGGAAUAUUGCACAAUGGGCGGAAGCCUGAUGCAGCAACGCCGCGUGCGGGAUGACGGCCUUCGGGUUGUAAACCGCUUUCGCCUGUGACGAAGCGUGAGUGACGGUAAUGGGUAAAGAAGCACCGGCUAACUACGUG